GGGACAGCGUCUCAAUGGGUGGGACGUGGAAAAAGGGAUGAAAAUGCUGUGCAGUUCCGCACAAAGCGGGACACUUGGUCACCCUAUUUUUGACGCACUUAUGGAAGACUGUAGGGUUCAAUCAACGGAGCAUGAGGGUUAAGAUGACUUUGUUUUGCUCCAGACUCUCGUGUCAUUUUGUUCCAGCUCAGGUGUGACGCAUAAGAAAACAGCAGAAGACAGAGAUGUGUGCUUUGGCUCAAGGUCAGAUGUUUGGGGGCUUUAGAGGAUGGACUGCUGCUGCUGCUAAAGACGCCCUUUAUGGAGCCGCAGCCCGCUGACGGGCAGCGAGCGUGUGUUCAGCAGACUUUAAUUGUCUGUCGGUGGCAGUAAAAGAACCGGUGAAAUACACAACCGUAAAAGAGCCGCGGUGCGUCCUGGGAGAUGGAGAUGAAGGAAAACACACCGGGCUGGAGGCUGAUGGCGAGAAGAUCAGACAAAGAGCCUUUCACCCAAAGAUUUAUAUUACUGUCUGCUUGGAAAUGACUCCACACAGAACAGAUCCAUCAGUCAGGUGUUUCCAUAAAAGACCAAAGAACUACAGACUCUUCACAACCUGCUCAAACUCUUGGUACAGGACCUCACCACACGGGUCAAGAAGGUUGCUUUGUAGAACUGUUCCAGAAAACCUCACUAAACCACAUGGAGGGUCCUCAAGAUAGUCGUCCAAAUGAUGGAAGCUGCAAGCCAACGCCUAAAGAACAAACUAAAGCAACGGAACCAAACCCAGUUCUGUGGUGAAGAGAAACAGAGGAAAUGUUUGUCUGCAGCUAAAUAAAGCAGGAAGACACUGAGCUGCUCAGGUGUUCCUGAUAACACCAAGCAGCCACCUGGACAGCCAAUAGGAACACAGCUUCCUAGAAG
ensembl:lncRNA